GAUGAACGCUGGCGGCGUGCUUAAUACAUGCAAGUCGAGCGAACGGGCGAGGAGCUUGCGUCUCGGUUGUGAGCGGCGGAGGUGUGUGUAACACGUGUAUAAUCUACCUAUAAGUCUGAGAUAACUUCGAAACACCGGAUCUAAUACCGUAGGAUCUUUUGCACCGCAUGGGUCGAAAGUGAAAGACGGUCUUGCGGUCACUUAUAGAUGGAUCCGCGCUGCAUUAGCUAGUUGGUAAGGUAACGGCCUACCAAGGCAACGAUGCAUAGACGAACGGAGAGGGUGAUAGGCCACCCUGGAACUGGGCCAGGGUCCAGACUCCUACGGGAGGCAGCAGUAGGGAAUCUGCCGCAAUGGGCGAAAGCCUGACGGAGCAACGCCGCGUGAGUGAUGAAGGUGCCCGGAUCGUAAAGCUCUGCUAUUAGGGGAGAACCUAUGUGUAAGUAACUGUGCACAGCUUGACGGUAACUAAUCAGAAAGCCACGGCUAACUACGUG
rnacentral:rRNA from 1 species